rnacentral:tRNA from 1 species
GCCGAAGUAGCUCAGUGGUAGAGCGGCUGUUUUGUAAACAGCGGGUCGCGGGUUCGAAUCCUGUCUUCGGCUCCA